rnacentral:ncRNA from 25 species
UUGCAUGAUGACAAUUUGACAAGUGUCUUUAAGAUCGAAAGAUCAGUGUGAGCACAUGAUUUCUCAAUAGACUACAACGGUAUCUGAUU